rnacentral:sRNA from 1 species
GAAAGCUUUUAGAAGCAAGAAGAAGGUUGGUUAGUGUUUUGGAGUCGAAUAUGACUUGUUGUCAUGUGUAUGUUUGAGUAUAACAACUUAAACCGCAACCCGAUCUUAUAAGCCUAAGUUGUGUUUCCUUGUUAGAAGAUACAAAGCCAAAGACUCAUACGGACUUUGGCUACACCAUGAAAGCUUAGAGAAGCUAGAAGAAGGUUUGUUAGUGUUGUGGAGUCGAAUAUGACUUGAUGUCAUGUGUAUGAUUGAGUAUAAGAACUUAAACUGCAACCGAAUCUUAAAGGCGUAAGAAUUGUAUCCUUGUUAGAAGACACAAAUCCAAAGACUCAUAUGGACUUUGGGUACACCAUGAAAGCUUUGAGAAGCAAGAUGAAGGUUGGUUAGUGUUUCCAGUCGAAUAUGACUUGUUGUCAUGUGUAUGA